AUAAAAUGAGAGAUCGUUCAUCUCCAUCAGACAGUAGAAGAUGUUGAUUCUUCUAUCAGGAGAGAUUCUAUCAGUGUUCAUCUCCUUCAGGUUGGUGAUGAUUCUCUGGAUGGUUUCUGGACUGUUCUCUCUCUGACCCAGCAGAUCUUCUAAGAGGUUCUGGUUGGACUCCACAGUGAGACCAUGAAGGAAGCGGACAAACAGGUCCAGGUGGCCAUUUUUACUGCUGAGGGAUUUCUUCAUGACUUUCUUCAUGAACUCAUCUAGAGAU